ACCAACUUUGUGUUUCUACCUCAGUGAACGUCAGAUGACGACGAGGCCUGUAUCCGCAUGGGGCUACAGGAGGCCACCGAGUCGCCAUGCCCGUGUGACCAUGAUGAUGAAGUCGGACAUGAGAUACAAGUGAGCAGCACUGAGUUUGGGGGACACAUGCAGCAAUGCGGAGACGCUUCGUGUGGAUGUGGGACCUAGGAAGUACUUCAUGACCCCAGGCCUCAACAUGAACAAGUGCAACUCUCUGCCAAUGAUCCCCACCUCUGUCUCAGGAAGAACAGCAUCUAUGGAUUACAGCAAGUUGUGAAAGAGGGCAAGUGUGGAAUGUAUACUUCAGUCUGCCCAUAUACAUUCUGCCAUUACACAGCUUAAAAAAAAAAAGAACAAGAUACAAAAAUGCCCAUGUGUACCAGGUGUACAUGUAGACAUCGUUUUUUUAGUACACAAAGCAGUGGACUGGGGAAAAGGGGGGAUUAAGUACAACUAACUGAUGAUUAGCUUAGCGACUUCCGUGAGACACGUUGUCACAACGGGGUUGCCGGGCGACCAGUAAAGUAGUUUUAACAAAUAUUAAGAUGUUAACAAAAACAAAUUUCAAAAACAAACCCAUUUGCUUGAAGUUGAGUCCCAAAGUGGAGUGGUGCACAGGAGAGGUUGCAAAUGGAAGCAGCACAGGCAGAGCAGGUCACUUGGGUACGAGGCCACGGGACUGUGGGUACAGAGGAGAUCCUGGACUGGAGAUGCCGUACGGAGAGGUAGGCGUGCUGGAUUUCUUGCCAGUUCUUGGUCGACUGUGGGAUAAAAAGCCAUAAAAGAGAGUGUUACUAGGAGCAGAGGGUGCAAACGUACGUCUGAUCAAUGUUAGUAAAUGCAAACAAUGGAUAAAAUGAAGAAAUAAACUGAUUGUGAAAUCUGA